GACGAACGCUGGCGGCGUGCAUAACACAUGCAAGUCACGGGGGCCAGCAAUGGCAACCGGCGAACGGGUGCGUAACACGUAAGCGACCUACCUCGAUGUGGGGCAUAGCCGGCCUAACGGCCGGGUAAUUCCGCAUGUGAUCCUUGAGGGGCAUAUCUCGGGGAUGAAACCAGUAAUGGGCAUUGAGAGGGGCUUGCGGCCUAUCAGCUUGUUGGCGGGGUAACGGCNCACCAAGGCGACGACGGGUAGCUGGUCUGAGAGGAUGGCCAGCCACAUUGGGACUGAGAAACGGCCCAGACUCCUACGGGAGGCAGCAGGUGGGGAAUCUUGCGCAAUGGCCUAACGGCUGACGCAGCGACGCCGCGUGGAGGAU
rnacentral:rRNA from 1 species